rnacentral:pre_miRNA from 15 species
GCUAAAAGGAACGAUCGUUGUGAUAUGCGUUAAUUCACCGUUACAUAUCACAGUGAUUUUCCUUUAUAGCGC